UGUUCUGUGGUUUUUCGUUCC
rnacentral:piRNA from 1 species